rnacentral:rRNA from 1 species
GUCUACAGCCAUGCCACCCUGAACGAGCUUGAUCCCAUAUGAUCUCAGAAGCUAAGCAGGGUCGGGCCUGGUUAGUACUUGGAUGGGAGACCACCUAGGAAGACCAGGUGCUGUAGGUG